GUGACCCAACUAGUGCCUGAACCCUAC
rnacentral:sRNA from 1 species